rnacentral:rRNA from 1 species
UACGUAGGGGGCGAGCGUUGUCCGGAAUUAUUGGGCGUAAAGAGCGUGUAGGCGGUUCGGUAAGUCUGCCGUGAAAACCUGGGGCUCAACCCUGGGCGUGCGGUGGAUACUGCCGGGCUAGAGGGUGGUAGAGGCGAGUGGAAUUCCUGGUGUAGCGGUGAAAUGCGCAGAUAUCAGGAGGAACACCGGUGGCGAAGGCGGUCUCUGGCGAUUACCUGACGCUGAGGAGCGAAAGUGUGGGGAGCGAACAGG